UACGUAGGGUGCAAGCGUUGUCCGGAAUUACUGGGCGUAAAGGGCGCGUAGGCGGCUUGUCAAGUCACUUGUGAAAUCUCUGGGCUUAACCCAGAACGGCCAAGUGAAACUGACAUGCUAGAGUGUGGAAGGGGCAAUCGGAAUUCUUGGUGUAGCGGUGAAAUGCGUAGAUAUCAAGAGGAACACCUGAGGUGAAGACGGGUUGCUGGGCCAACACUGACGCUGAGGCGCGAAAGCCAGGGGAGCAAACGGG
rnacentral:rRNA from 1 species